AGAGCUUGCUUUAAAGAAGUUAGCGGCGGACGGGUGAGUAACACGUGGGCAACCUGCCUGUAAGACUGGGAUAACUUCGGGAAACCGGAGCUAAUACCGGAUAAUAUAUAGUACCUCCUGGUACUAUAUUGAAAGUUGGUUUCGGCUAACACUUACAGAUGGGCCCGCGGCGCAUUAGCUAGUUGGUGAGGUAACGGCUCACCAAGGCAACGAUGCGUAGCCGACCUGAGAGGGUGAUCGGCCACACUGGGACUGAGACACGGCCCAGACUCCUACGGGAGGCAGCAGUAGGGAAUCUUCCACAAUGGACGAAAGUCUGAUGGAGCAACGCCGCGUGAGCGAUGAAGGCCUUCGGGUCGUAAAGCUCUGUUGUUAGGGAAGAACAAGUGCGAGAGUAACUGCUCGCACCUUGACGGUACCUAACCAGAAAGCCACGGCUAACUACGUGCCAGCAGCCGCGGUAAUACGUANGUGGCAAGCGUUGUCCGGAAUUAUUGGGCGUAAAGCGCGCGCNNGCGGUUUCUUAAGUCUGAUGUGAAAGCCCACGGNUCAACCGUGGAGGGUCAUUGGAAACUGGGAGAC
rnacentral:rRNA from 1 species